rnacentral:lncRNA from 1 species
CCCCGUGGCUGGCCUCGGCAGUGAGCUUCCCCCGGACGCCUGUAAGGACGCUUCGGGCUCAAUAUAUAGCCUCGCUUAGGCGGCUUUUUCAGCUCAGGGUGAGGCGCCGGCGCUACCCAGCGCGCAUUGCGGCUUAUGCUGAUUUAGAGCCGCCCAUUCGUCGGAAGGGGGUUGGGGGCGUGUCCCGGUGUGAGGGUUAAAGCGCGGGCUCAUGGGGGGGGGUGGCUCCGCCGUCUGAGGGGCUGUGUUCGGAGCUGGAGUCGCGAGCCUGCGUGGUGGGCAGUGGGGCUGAAACCUGCCCCACUGUGGGGCCCCAGGCUGUGCGGUCUCGAUUUCGGUCUGACAGGCUGUGGGGCUAAAACUUGCCUGUGACGGGCUAUAGGGGCUGCUUGGCUCCCAGGACCACAGAGCUGGAAGUGACGGGCCGAGCCCAGGAUGCUGUGCUGGGGGCUCCUAUUGCCCAGAAAAAUGCCUGUGCAGGGACACCAGAGGGUGUGUUGCCAGCCCUGGCACAUGGUGGCUGUCAAGGGCACUGAAGCACAAGAGACAAGUUCAGGAGACCUGGGUUCCUACAUUGUCCAGAGCUGUUGUAGGUGGACCAGAAUGUUUGCUGCCUGGGAGAGGCUUGUAGACCCAAAAGGCUGGAAGGAAGCACUACAUUUCUCUCCUUUGCCUCCUGUUAAAAGUGUGCCAGAGACACUAAUCCAGCAUUUGAAUUUCAGCCAGGUAGCUGGAAGGGAUGGCAUCUCCUCAGCACCUUCCUCUGAUGGACUACCCAGCUUUGCUUCUCGUCAUGCCUCCCUGUACUUCUCUUCCUUAGGGCAGGAGGGAGGUGUUGCUAGAGAGACUGACUUUCUUUGA